UACGUAGGGGGCAAGCGUUGUCCGGAAUCAUUGGGCGUAAAGCGCGUGUAGGCGGCUUGGUAAGUCCGCUCUGAAAGCCCGGGGCUCAACCCCGGGAGGCGGGUGGAUACUGUCAAGCUCGAGUCCGGAAGAGGCGAGUGGAAUUCCUGGUGUAGCGGUGAAAUGCGCAGAUAUCAGGAGGAACACCAAUGGCGAAGGCAGCUCGCUGGGACGUGACUGACGCUGAGACGCGAAAGCGUGGGGAGCAAACAGGG
rnacentral:rRNA from 1 species